UGAAAUAAUGGCAAAUUCAUUAGAUGGCCAGAAAUGGACCCAGACAUAAGAAGUUCCUUCUUGAAUGAAGGGGUGGCCUGAGAUGUCUCUUGGACUUCAGAAAUGAAUGGCACGCACAGAAAGUAAUUGGUGAAUGAUGCGGACUUCAGCUAUUUAUAGUAUGCAGGAAGCAAGCAGAUGAAGCCCCACUUUAGACAUGUAGCUGUGUGACCAUGUGAUUGCAUCUGCAUCCCAUAACAUAGGAAGAUGCAUACGGCUCCCACAUUUCAGUCCAGAAAAUCCCAGAAAGGAAUACAGGGCAGAGACAUGGCUCCUGCUGCACUGCUCGACUGAUGCUGCUCGUCAAGAUUUCAACCAUCCAGGAGUACUGAGCUUCUUGCGGCUUCACUCGCUGUUAACAAUAAAGCAUUAUGAGUAUCUCCAUUUAGCUGAUAUAGUCCUAAAAAGCCUGCAUGCUGAGAGUCACAUUUACACUUUAUUAAUGAAAACAAAGCAGCAAGAUGUCCUGGCUCAGCAGAGGGGGUGUGGGAAGUGCUGGGGCUGCCUGUGCAGCAGUAGCCAAGGAAUAGCAAGGAGGGGUACGGUACGCUUGAGAACCUCAUGGGUGCAGCAGCAAAGAGAAGCUUUGAGACAUAGAUAAGAAAAAACAUUGGGAACUUAUCCUUUUCCAUAGAGAUAAAUCUGUUUUAUUCAAUUUGCUUAGAAACAGCAGUAUCUGCUUGUUCUUUUGGCUAACAGCACAGGAAAGUGCUAGAGUCACAGAAAACAGUCCAACGAUGACAAACAAGAAACAAAAUGUUAUGCCUUGAGGUAUUCUAUCUUAUCCCAGCUUUGCUGAUGGCUGAAAGCUUACCCUCAUCAUCUUGCCUGGCUUUUUGGUACAUUCUGGUUACCUAAGCAGCUUUAAAGUAUGCUGGUUGGUAGUCUUAUUUCAAAGUGUUUGGCUACAAAUGAUAGCACUUAUCAUCAAAAUAAUUCUUGCAGUGAGGAUAUGCUACUUACAGCUCAAAAGAUCAUCCGUAAAUUAGUCUGCUGCGUGGGACACUUGCAUGCAUUCAAAACAUGGUCAUGAAAAAAAUACGGACUUCGUAUUUCACAAACUCUUUAAGUUUUAAAACUUGAGUGUGGUUCCUCGUUAGAUGAUCCCAACUGAUCAG